rnacentral:SRP_RNA from 1 species
GCCGUGAAGAAUUUCCUGUGAGCCAGUGUUAAAGCGGUAGAUCGGCGUGGAUGAAGUGAGGGGAGGAGUUCCGCGGUGGCCGUGGAGUGCGGCGACCGGGCGUCCGUGUCAAGCGUUGUGUCACCAAGGUUGUGCUGACGAGAAAUAGCGUGACAGGGGCGGUCAACCAAGGGUGUACGGCUCAAGCCCCAGAGGGAACAGGCGGAAGCCUCGUACGAAACAGUGGUCGAAUAGCCCCGUGAGCAGCUGCUCUGUUGUGGCCUCUACGAUACCUUCAAACUUCCAAUCGU